UACGUAGGGUGCAAGCGUUGUCCGGAAUUAUUGGGCGUAAAGAGCUCGUAGGCGGUCUGUCGCGUCGGCUGUGAAAACCCGGAGCUCAACUCCGGGCCUGCAGUCGAUACGGGCAAACUAGAGUGUUGCAGGGGAGACUGGAAUUCCUGGUGUAGCGGUGAAAUGACGCAGAUAUCAGGAGGAACACCGGUGGCGAAGGCGGGUCUCUGGGCAACAACUGACGCUGAGGAGCGAAAGCGUGGGGAGCGAACAGG
rnacentral:rRNA from 1 species